rnacentral:lncRNA from 1 species
UAUAUAUACAGUCCGCCAAAAGUUAAGCACCACCGAAAUAUAACUGGCAAUAUUUUUUUAACUAUUGCAAAAAAAAUAUUAAUGUUGGUGUUAUGAAUUACCUUUAACAUACACUAAAAAAAUUCAUUACGACCAAAAAGAUUGCACUCCGAUAAAGCAGUCAACCAACCUUUUAUCAAAGGUCAUAUGUGCGUUUAUAAAUACACUGUUUCUCCAGGUGGUCGUGUAAGUGUUCGUACAUUGGUCCGUCGACUUUAUAGAGGCAAACGAAGAGCACGUCGUGGUGUAUAGAGACCUGUACCUUCAAGCAGGCACUCUACCGUCAGGUUUAAAUGGGAUAAUGAACAUCUAUGCUUGAACAUAAGAACCUGACAAAACACUCAUUGAUCAGAUGGGAGUCAGUUUCCUUUACUGCCAGAAGACGCCAUAAUACGAAUUUCGCAGGGGAAAAAAACGGCCUAUGACCAAAAACAAUAUUUGCACAAGGACUGCAUGCAUUGCUGGUUGUGUUCCAGUACGGGGUUGCUUCUUAUACCGUUAUAAGCUGGGUAUGCAUAUUCUGCAGGGUAACAUAAACGGAC